rnacentral:rRNA from 1 species
AGUGAACGCUGGCGGUAGGCCUAACACAUGCAAGUCGAACGGCAGCACAGGAGAGCUUGCUCUCUGGGUGGCGAGUGGCGGACGGGUGAGGAAUACAUCGGAAUCUACUUUUUCGUGGGGGAUAACGUAGGGAAACUUACGCUAAUACCGCAUACGACCUACGGGUGAAAGAAGGGGAUCUUCGGACCUUGCGCGAUUGAAUGAGCCGAUGUCGGAUUAGCUAGUUGGCGGGGUAAAGGCCCACCAAGGCGACGAACCGUAGCUGGUCUGGGAGGAUGAUCAGCCACACUUGAAGCGAGACACGGACCAGACUACUACGGGAGGAAGCAGUGGGGACUCAUGGACAAUGGGCGCAAGACUGAUCCAGACAUACCGCGUGGGUGAAGAAGGCCUUCGGGUUGUAAAGCCCUUUUGUUGGGAAAGAAAUCCAGCUGGUUAAUACCCGGUUGGGAUGACGGUACCCAAAGAAUAAGUAACUGCUAACUUCGUGCCAGCCGCCGCGGUAA